rnacentral:rRNA from 1 species
AGAGAGAGACAUGCGCGCAUAUCAAUAAGCGGAGGAAAAGAAACUAACAAGGAUUCCCUUAGUAACGGCGAGUGAAGCGGGAAGAGCUCAAAUUUGAAAUCUUCAAGGUUCUACCUUGACGAAUUGUAGUUUAUAGAAGUGUUUUCUGUUAGUGGAGUGGCAAAAGUUCUUUGGAAUAGGACAUCAUAGAGGGUGAGAAUCCCGUAUUUGGUCAUUCCUCCUAGCGUUGUGAUACACUUUCAACGAGUCGGAUUGUUUGGGAAUGCAGUCCAAAAUGGGUGGUAAAUUUCAUCUAAAGCUAAAUAUUGGCGAGAGACCGAUAGCGAACAAGUACCGUGAGGGAAAGAUGAAAAGAACUUUGAAAAGAGAGUUAAACAGUACGUGAAAUUGUCAAAAGGGAAGCGUUUGACACCAGUCGUUGUUUUUCCGAAAAUCAAUUACGAAUGUUUUAGUUUUUGAGGAGUUAUGACUUCAUCGGCUUGCUCCUUUCUUUACUGAAACUUUCUUAAUGCACUUUUCGGUUAACAAGUCAACAUCAAUUUCUUUUGUUGUAAAAGGGUAUGAGGAAGGUGGCUUUCUUUUCGGAGAAAGUGUUUAUAGCCUUGUGCCUCUGCAAUCGGAGAGAUUGAGGUCUGCAGCGUAGAUCCUUCGGGGUUAGAUACGUUUGUGCUAAGUUAUAGCUUUUCAUAGACAACUUGUUGACUAUGUUUAGUCUUGUAGCUUACUCGCUUACUGCUAUUUUACCUACGCUUAGGAUGUUGAUAGUCACAGCGUGUAC